rnacentral:rRNA from 1 species
UACGUAGGUGGCGAGCGUUGUCCGGAAUUACUGGGCGUAAAGCGUGCGUAGACGGUUACAUAAGUCGGGUGUGAAAGCCCCGGGCUCAACCUGGGAAUUGCAUUCGAGACUGCGUAGCUAGGGUGCGGAAGAGGGAAGCGGAAUUUCCGGUGUAGCGGUGAAAUGCGUAGAUAUCGGAAGGAACACCAGUGGCGAAAGCGGCUUCCUGGUCCAGCACCGACGUCAGGCACGAAAGCGUGGGGAGCAAACAGG